GAUGAACGCUAGCGGCAGGCUUAAUACAUGCAAGUCGAACGGGAUUUGAGUAGCAAUAUUCAAUGAGAGUGGCGCACGGGUGCGUAACGCGUAUGCAACCUACCUUUAACAGGGGGAUAGCCCGGAGAAAUCCGGAUUAAUACCCCAUAGAAUAUAAUUGUGGCCUCACAUUUAUAUUAAAGCUCCGGUGGUUAAAGAUGGGCAUGCGUGCCAUUAGCUAGUUGGUGAGGUAACGGCUCACCAAGGCGACGAUGGCUAGGGGUCCUGAGAGGGUUAUCCCCCACACUGGUACUGAGACACGGACCAGACUCCUACGGGAGGCAGCAGUAAGGAAUAUUGGGCAAUGGACGAA
rnacentral:rRNA from 1 species